UACGUAGGGUGCGAGCGUUGUCCGGAAUUACUGGGCGUAAAGAGCUCGUAGGUGGUUUGUCGCGUUGUUCGUGAAAACCGGGGGCUUAACCCUCGGCGUGCGGGCGAUACGGGCAGACUAGAGUACUGCAGGGGAGACUGGAAUUCCUGGUGUAGCGGUGGAAUGCGCAGAUAUCAGGAGGAACACCGGUGGCGAAGGCGGGUCUCUGGGCAGUAACUGACGCUGAGGAGCGAAAGCGUGGGGAGCGAACAGGAUUAGAUACCCUGGUAGUCCACGCCGUAAACGGUGGGUACUAGGUGUGGGUUUCCUUCCUUGGGAUCCGUGCCGUAGCUAACGCAUUAAGUACCCCGCCUGGGGAGUACGGCCGCAAGGCUAAA
rnacentral:rRNA from 1 species